rnacentral:rRNA from 1 species
AUACGGAGGAUCCGAGCGUUAUCCGGAUUUAUUGGGUUUAAAGGGAGCGUAGGCGGACGCUUAAGUCAGUUGUGAAAGUUUGCGGCUCAACCGUAAAAUUGCAGUUGAUACUGGGUGUCUUGAGUACAGUAGAGGCAGGCGGGAUUCGUGGGGUAGCGGGGGAAUGCUUAGAUAUCACGAAGAACUCCGAUUGCGAAGGCAGCCUGCUGGACUGUAACUGACGCUGAUGCUCGAAAGUGUGGGUAUCAAACAGGAUUAGAUACCCUGGUAGUCCACACAGUAAACGAUGAAUACUCGCUGUUUGCGAUACACUGUAAGCGGCCAAGCGAAAGCGUUAAGUAUUCCACCUGGGGAGUACGCCGGCAACGGUGAAACUCAAAGGAAUUGACGGGG